UACGUAGGGGGCUAGCGUUGUCCGGAAUCAUUGGGCGUAAAGAGCGUGUAGGCGGCCUGACAGGUCAGCUGUGAAAACUCGAGGCUCAACCUCGAGACGUCGGUUGAAACCAUCUGGCUAGAGUCCGGAAGAGGAGUGUGGAAUUCCCGGUGUAGCGGUGAAAUGCGCAGAUAUCGGGAAGAACACCCGUGGCGAAGGCGGCGAUCUGGGUAGAUACUGACGCUGAGGUGCGAAAGCGUGGGGAGUAAACAGG
rnacentral:rRNA from 1 species